rnacentral:rRNA from 1 species
UACGUAGGGUGCGAGCGUUGUCCGGAAUUAUUGGGCGUAAAGAGCUCGUAGGCGGUUUGUCGCGUCGACUGUGAAAACCUGGGGCUUAACUCUGGGCCUGCAGUCGAUACGGGCAGACUUGAGUUCGGUAGGGGAGACUGGAAUUCCUGGUGUAGCGGUGAAAUGCGCAGAUAUCAGGAGGAACACCUAUGGCGAAGGCAGCUCUCUGGGACGGUACUGACGCUGAGACGCGAAAGCGUGGGGAGCGAACAGGAUUAGA